GGAAAUGGUUUUGAGAUCAUGGGAGGAAAGGAAUUUAUAAAAUAUUUAGUUUUAUGCCUUGUGAAAAUUGGAGUUGAGAAUGAAUCUAAUUUUAAUUGUUGGUUUUACUUGGACAAUAUCUAUAUAUUUUUCCAAAUUAUGAUCCUUUUAGCUGGAAGAACUAUGUGUGGUUUGAUCCCUCUUUAAGGGUACGCAGGCAACCUG
rnacentral:lncRNA from 1 species